rnacentral:rRNA from 1 species
GAUGAACGCUAGCGGCAGGCCUAAUACAUGCAAGUCGAACGGUAACAUGAGUAGCAAUACUUGAUGACGAGUGGCGCACGGGUGCGUAACGCGUAUGCAAUCUACCUUUAACUGGUGAAUAGCCCGAAGAAAUUCGGAUUAACACACCAUAGUAUAUUUGAAUGGCAUCAUUUAAAUAUUAAAACUCCGGUGGUUAAAGAUGAGCAUGCGUGACAUUAGCUAGUUGGUGAGGUAAUGGCUCACCAAGGCUACGAUGUCUAGGGGAUCUGAGAGGAUUAACCCCCACACUGGUACUGAGACACGGACCAGACUCCUACGGGAGGCAGCAGUAAGGAAUAUUGGACAAUGGUCGAAAGACUGAUCCAGCCAUGCCGCGUGAAGGAUGAAGGCCCUA